GGUUAAGCGACUAAGCGUACACGGUGGAUGCCCUGGCAGUCAGAGGCGAUGAAGGACGUGCUAAUCUGCGAUAAGCGUCGGUAAGGUGAUAUGAACCGUUAUAACCGGCGAUUUCCGAAUGGGGAAACCCAGUGUGUUUCGACACACUAUCAUUAACUGAAUCCAUAGGUUAAUGAGGCGAACCGGGGGAACUGAAACAUCUAAGUACCCCGAGGAAAAGAAAUCAACCGAGAUUCCCCCAGUAGCGGCGAGCGAACGGGGAGCAGCCCAGAGCCUGAAUCAGUGUGUGUGUUAGUGGAAGCGUCUGGAAAGGCGCGCGAUACAGGGUGACAGCCCCGUACACAAAAAUGCACAUAUUGUGAGCUCGAUGAGUAGGGCGGGACACGUGGUAUCCUGUCUGAAUAUGGGGGGACCAUCCUCCAAGGCUAAAUACUCCUGACUGACCGAUAGUGAACCAGUACCGUGAGGGAAAGGCGAAAAGAACCCCGGCGAGGGGAGUGAAAAAGAACCUGAAACCGUGUACGUACAAGCAGUGGGAGCCUCUUUUAUGGGGUGACUGCGUACCUUUUGUAUAAUGGGUCAGCGACUUAUAUUCUGUAGCAAGGUUAACCGAAUAGGGGAGCCGAAGGGAAACCGAGUCUUAACUGGGCGUUAAGUUGCAGGGUAUAGACCCGAAACCCGGUGAUCUAGCCAUGGGCAGGUUGAAGGUUGGGUAACACUAACUGGAGGACCGAACCGACUAAUGUUGAAAAAUUAGCGGAUGACUUGUGGCUGGGGGUGAAAGGCCAAUCAAACCGGGAGAUAGCUGGUUCUCCCCGAAAGCUAUUUAGGUAGCGCCUCGUAAAUUCAUCUCCGGGGGUAGAGCACUGUUUCGGCAAGGGGGUCAUCCCGACUUACCAACCCGAUGCAAACUGCGAAUACCGGAGAAUGUUAUCACGGGAGACACACGGCGGGUGCUAACGUCCGUCGUGAAGAGGGAAACAACCCAGACCGCCAGCUAAGGUCCCAAAGUCAUGGUUAAGUGGGAAACGAUGUGGGAAGGCCCAGACAGCCAGGAUGUUGGCUUAGAAGCAGCCAUCAUUUAAAGAAAGCGUAAUAGCUCACUGGUCGAGUCGGCCUGCGCGGAAGAUGUAACGGGGCUAAACCAUGCACCGAAGCUGCGGCAGCGACACUAUGUGUUGUUGGGUAGGGGAGCGUUCUGUAAGCCUGUGAAGGUGUACUGUGAGGUAUGCUGGAGGUAUCAGAAGUGCGAAUGCUGACAUAAGUAACGAUAAAGCGGGUGAAAAGCCCGCUCGCCGGAAGACCAAGGGUUCCUGUCCAACGUUAAUCGGGGCAGGGUGAGUCGACCCCUAAGGCGAGGCCGAAAGGCGUAGUCGAUGGGAAACAGGUUAAUAUUCCUGUACUUGGUGUUACUGCGAAGGGGGGACGGAGAAGGCUAUGUUGGCCGGGCGACGGUUGUCCCGGUUUAAGCGUGUAGGCUGGUUUUCCAGGCAAAUCCGGAAAAUCAAGGCUGAGGCGUGAUGACGAGGCACUACGGUGCUGAAGCAACAAAUGCCCUGCUUCCAGGAAAAGCCUCUAAGCAUCAGGUAACAUCAAAUCGUACCCCAAACCGACACAGGUGGUCAGGUAGAGAAUACCAAGGCGCUUGAGAGAACUCGGGUGAAGGAACUAGGCAAAAUGGUGCCGUAACUUCGGGAGAAGGCACGCUGAUAUGUAGGUGAAGUCCCUCGCGGAUGGAGCUGAAAUCAGUCGAAGAUACCAGCUGGCUGCAACUGUUUAUUAAAAACACAGCACUGUGCAAACACGAAAGUGGACGUAUACGGUGUGACGCCUGCCCGGUGCCGGAAGGUUAAUUGAUGGGGUCAGCGCAAGCGAAGCUCUUGAUCGAAGCCCCGGUAAACGGCGGCCGUAACUAUAACGGUCCUAAGGUAGCGAAAUUCCUUGUCGGGUAAGUUCCGACCUGCACGAAUGGCGUAAUGAUGGCCAGGCUGUCUCCACCCGAGACUCAGUGAAAUUGAACUCGCUGUGAAGAUGCAGUGUACCCGCGGCAAGACGGAAAGACCCCGUGAACCUUUACUAUAGCUUGACACUGAACAUUGAGCCUUGAUGUGUAGGAUAGGUGGGAGGCUUUGAAGUGUGGACGCCAGUCUGCAUGGAGCCGACCUUGAAAUACCACCCUUUAAUGUUUGAUGUUCUAACGUGGACCCGUGAUCCGGGUUGCGGACAGUGUCUGGUGGGUAGUUUGACUGGGGCGGUCUCCUCCUAAAGAGUAACGGAGGAGCACGAAGGUUGGCUAAUCCUGGUCGGACAUCAGGAGGUUAGUGCAAUGGCAUAAGCCAGCUUGACUGCGAGCGUGACGGCGCGAGCAGGUGCGAAAGCAGGUCAUAGUGAUCCGGUGGUUCUGAAUGGAAGGGCCAUCGCUCAACGGAUAAAAGGUACUCCGGGGAUAACAGGCUGAUACCGCCCAAGAGUUCAUAUCGACGGCGGUGUUUGGCACCUCGAUGUCGGCUCAUCACAUCCUGGGGCUGAAGUAGGUCCCAAGGGUAUGGCUGUUCGCCAUUUAAAGUGGUACGCGAGCUGGGUUUAGAACGUCGUGAGACAGUUCGGUCCCUAUCUGCCGUGGGCGCUGGAGAACUGAGGGGGGCUGCUCCUAGUACGAGAGGACCGGAGUGGACGCAUCACUGGUGUUCGGGUUGUCAUGCCAAUGGCACUGCCCGGUAGCUAAAUGCGGAAGAGAUAAGUGCUGAAAGCAUCUAAGCACGAAACUUGCCCCGAGAUGAGUUCUCCCUGAGACUAUAAGUCUCCUGAAGGAACGUUGAAGACGACGACGUUGAUAGGCCGGGUGUGUAAGCGCAGCGAUGCGUUGAGCUAACCGGUACUAAUGAACCGUGAGGCUUAACCUU
rnacentral:rRNA from 1 species